GAGAACGGAAGGGCCGAAAAACACCAUUCACCAAGCAAAAAAUAGAUUCCAAUAUUAAUUUAAUAUUCUUCAAAUUGCAAUAGGUCCAUUUCACAUCACGAACUUCCACAUUAAAUAAACAUAUCUAUUUAUCAAAGUACGAACACCGCAAAACUUCUGUUUUUCUUUUUAAUCAAAAUAAAUGUUAAUUAUCGUUGGAGUUCAGAUUUACUGCAAACUAAAAAAUAAUUAGAGAUCUUACAGCGGGUCUGAGAACGAAGCGAACUAAGCGAGAAUCGACUCCAUAACGGCUAUUGUUCUUUAAUUUCUUCACGGUGCCGGAGAUUUGAGAACGACUCCUUCGUCGUUGUUGAGAUGUGGCGCCACCUUCGUCCUCCGUUUAGCCGCCGCCUCCACCGCCAUUACCGGGAUUCCAAGAUCGAGAAAGAAGAGAAGUGGUGGAGAUGAGUGUCGAUGAGAGAACGGUUGUUGGUAUAAAAUAUGCGGCUAGGGUUUAUUUUAACAAAAUUUGGCAACUAAGGGUAAUAUAGGUUUAGCACCGAAUAAUUAUGUAAAUAAUAAUUAAAAUUAAAUAAUGGAGGGGGUGUCACUAAUAUUGUAAAAGGGGUUGGAUCCAUUCUAAUUUACCCUAAUAUAGUGGGGGGUUCUCACUAAUAAUCCCUUGUUUUAAUGAGGUACUUGAGUCUGUCGGGCCGAAAUUCUAGUAGCCACGUGAUCAAAUAUUACAUGUGACAAGUCACAAAUUAAUGAAAACAUCAUCAACAAAGACAUUGCAAUGUGUGCUAAGUAAACUAUAAUGUUUAUAUAAGUGAUUAAUUUAUCAAUCCGUUAUUAUAUUUCUUUUUUUUUUGAAAGCGUUAUUAUAUAACAAAAUCUAUUGGUUCCGAAACUGUUGUUUGUAAACACUUUUCUGAAAUUCUAAUUUAGGUGCAAUUUUUUAGGGCUACUUACAGUCCUAAUGUAUUGGAAAUUUGGGAUGGGAAUACAUAUCCCUAAUGUUACAAAGUAACACUUGACCCCCUAGAAUUUUGCCAUGGUUUAAUUUGUUUUUAUCUCCCUUUUUUCACUUUUGCAAGCAAAUGAUACAACUACCCUUCAGUAAAAAAUGUAUCAUUUUGGUUUUAUUUAUUUUUUUGGUUUAAAUACAUAUUUGCAAAGUAUAUGUUAUGUAACAUCCAUCAUCUUAAUUCUUUUAAUACCUAAACAAGUACAUUUAAUUUAUGAUCUAAAUCUUAAAAUACAUUAAUACUAUUAAUAAAGAAUUGUGAAACAACUAUCACUAAAAUCUUUAAUAAUUUCACAAUAUGUUGAGUUCCUAAAAACUUUCUAUUUAUUAUUUCGCAAAAUGGUUGAAAAGAAAAAGAAUUGCAAAUUCAACUAAUUUAUUAAAUAGGAUAAACUGAAAGAGAGUGCCCUAAUUUUUUUUUAAUCAAAAUUGGCCCUAUAUACAAUACUAAUAGGUGAAAUAGUGAGAGAUAAAACUCAAGUUAAUUAGCCUUCUAGAAUAGUUAAAAAUAGUUAGUGCAAAUGUAGACACAUGAUAAUUGUCACUACAAAUAAAAUUGUUAUUUACUUAAUUAAUUUUUAUUUUAACUAUUCAUUAAAAAAAAGUUUUUUAAUAUUUUCCUCAAGUUGGUUGAAUUUAGAUGGCAAAAAGUCAUUUCAUUUGUGGAUUUGUAUGCUUAAUUAUUAUUAUUUUGAAGAACAAUUAGAUAUAUUUUUUACUAAUAAUAAAGAGAAAAUAUUGAAAUCAUUAUUCUCUUUUUUUCUCUUCGAGAGAAUGACUUUUUCGACGUGUGAAAUUGUAUUUAAAAUAAAUGAUUCGAAGACAAUAUGUUUUAUAUCAACUGUUAUAUAAUGGUUGAAGCUUGAGGGUAUUAUCGGAAGAAAAGACAAAAAACUAUAAAAGCAUAGAAAAAAACAAUGCCAUAUCAGCAAAAUUAGUCUCAAGGGGUAAGUGUUACUUUUGUAAUAAUAGAGGGAAAAAUUAUACCACCACCAUAUUUCAUGGGUGUAAACUAUAAUUAGCUUAAUUUUUUAUUGAUCCAUGACUCUAUGCACGUGUCUCAAUGCUAUUGCCUGGAAGAGAACCUGAUAAUCAUACGUGUCAAGAGUUGGACCUAAUCAAUAAUCAUGAUUCUUGAACCAGUUAUUAUUGGAGAUUGAUUAGUUUCAAGGCUUACCUCAAUUAUAAGUUGUCUGUCUUUUAACUGAGAUUUGCGUAUACAAACCUAAAGAAAACUUUCAAUUCAAACACUCGUAGGAUUAUGUGCUAACCAAUCUCCUCUCUCUCUCUCUCUCUCUCUCUCUCUCUCUCUCUCUCUCUCUCUCUCUCGCCCAGACCCAAAAUCUCUCUCAGCUUUUCUAUCUUUCAUAGGCAGGGCUGACAAGCAUAAAAGAAGUAAAUGUACAAGGAAAAAUUAAAUGACACAUUAUUUAUUAUUCAGCCAAUAAAAGAAAAGCUUUUUUCUCUCUCACUCUCUCUGCAAUAUCUACACACACAUACAGAGAUAAGCAACACACACGGUACGGUAGAACAUAUACAUAUAUAGAAAAUAUGCACACAAAUCCAAUGAAGUGGUCAAAAUGGCCACAUAAAAAAUGAAUCUUUUAGAGAAACGCCAUUGUUGUCAUGAAAAUGGUUAUGGCCAUCGAUAAUCGUGCCGCCAAACCUCUGUUUGCUGCAUUGGAUUUGGGAGGUGUCGGCUCUCCUAGUCCUACAAGUGUUUGAAUUGAAAGUUUUCUUUAGGUUAUAUUAUUAUUAUAUAUGGUCCAGAGAUGCAAUUAAUUAAUAAUAAUAAAAAAAAAUAAGAUAUGAGUUUUGUUAAAUUUAUGAAAUUCAAUGUACCUUCUUCAGCACUAGUGUUGAAGUAGAACUGAGUAUCACCGUACAACACGAAACAGCCCACUCCAUAAAUAUCCCAACUCCGUUCGCGGAAAACAAUUGUCUGAUAGCCUGAUUUGUUUAACAAACUCUCCAAACAACCCCUACAAUCGGACUUCCCCAAGUCUCUGGUGCACUGAGUCAACCCAUACCUCUUCCCGCCCAAGCCGUCAUCAAUCACUCCUUUCGCAAACAUCAAACUCUCCUCGGGAGCCGCCGCCGCCAGCUCCAUCAUCAUCAUCAUCCCCUUCGACGCAACCGCCGCCUGUUCGUACGAUCUAGAGAUGUUCAAUGAUGAUAUCGCAGCACUCGUACGCUCCCAAACGCCGUAGAACCUCUCGUUCGAGUACCGCAGGAAACACCACUUCUGCCAUAUCAUGACGGUUUUGCCCUCCUCGCCGCACGAGUGCCUCUUCAAAUUGAACGAAUCUCUGGUGCAGUUAGUGCAGUUAGACUUUGAAAUAUCGCCUCUGCACUGUAUGAGGCCGUACACUCUAUCGGGACCUUUUUCCCCUGCCUCCGCUAUGUAAUAGCCGUUGUUCAGGAUCACGUUUGCUUCCAGCUUUCUGAACAUGCUGUUUCGAUUUUCCGUCCACGUGGGAGAACUUUCAGCUUCUGACGGCGGCAAGCACAAAGCCCCCUCGAGUCCGUUGCUGUCCGCAUAGCAACGACGACACCAGAAAAUCAUGAAAAAUGUUAGGAAAAUCAUUGUCGAUGAUGACGCUGAACUUAAUUUAGAGGCCAUCGAUCUUUGAUUAUUGUUAUUGGCGUUGUUGAGGAAAAUGGAUUACUUAUAAUGAUGAGUUUACUCCAUAUGUAUGUAUUUAUUUUAUAAGUUUGUCUAAUAUUCGUGCUUGCAAAGGGUUCGAGUUGGACGGUUCCACGCGUAGUGUGCAAGGUGUUGCAAACUCCCACCGACUAUUAAUUUAAGGGGGUAGUGUUCGUAAGAAUGCACUGUCUUUACCUGGUUUUUCAGUUUAAACAUCGUCAAAUGGUCCACUAAACUUGUAUUUUGAAUUCUCAAAUGGAGAUCUUACCUAUUUCUUACAAUAGUAACCAACACUGCAUCCUUUUUUGUUUCCCUAAGUCAACUUGCCGCCAAAUGUGGUUGACUAUUUGAGUAAUGGGCUAUUUGUAUCUUUUGUUUUAAUGGGCUAUUUCAGUCCUUUUGGCCCAAAUUUCUAGUAGCCACAUCAAGAAAGACCCUGCAAAGUGUGCAUUUAAUUAAUUAAUUAUUUAUGAAUCCAUUAUUGGUUCCAAAACUAUUGAUUUAUAAAACACUUGACUGAAAUUCUAAUUUCCUGAAAGAGACGAGCAAAUUGGUGCAAAUAUAUUUUAUUGAUCCAUGACUCCACGUGUCUCAAAGCUAUUGCCUGGAAGAGAACCUAAUAAUCAUACGUGUCAAUAGUUGGAGCACUGAUUGGCUGAGACCAUAUCCAAAGUCAGAUAUAAAGAUAAGGUGAUUUCUGCAUCACAUGAGUAUACCUUUUUAACUUAUAUCCUCCAUAUUAUAUCCUUCAUUUUCCCUUAUUUUCGCCUGACAUAAUUUCUAGGUUUUAAUUAGAGAUACACAGUUCAAGUAAUGGCUCAAGCUAUGGCGUCGAUGGCUGGCUUACGUGGCUCUUCUCAAGCCGUCCUGGAAGGGAGCUUCCAAUCC
rnacentral:lncRNA from 1 species